UACGUAGGCGGCCUUGCAAGUCAAAUGUGAAAUCCUAUGGCUUAACCAUAGAACUGCAUUCGAUACUGCUAGGCUAGAGUAUGGGAGAGGAAGAUGGAAUUCCCGGUGUAAGAGUGAAAUCUGCAGAGAUCGGGAGGAACACCAGUUGCGAAGGCGAUCUUCUGGACCAUAACUGACGCUAAGUGUACGAAAGCUAGGGGAGCGAACAGGAUUAGAUACCCUGGUAGUCC
rnacentral:rRNA from 1 species